GAAAUCCUGAAACAUACGAUAAGGCUUUUUUAAAUUCAACCUACAAAUGAAAUACGGGAGACCGUGUCUGGUAAAUUAUAACAUGCCUAGUUAGUUUGGGACGUUAAAGGUUACUGGCAAGUCACCCACCUGGGAGUGCCUAGGGUGUGAAUUUACUUAGCCACCGGUGUUUCGGGACAAAA
rnacentral:other from 1 species